rnacentral:rRNA from 1 species
UACGGGGGGGGCAAGCGUUGUUCGGAAUUACUGGGCGUAAAGGGUUCGUAGGUGGCCUACUAAGUCAGACGUGAAAUCCCUCAGCUUAACUGGGGAACUGCGUCUGAUACUGGAUGGCUUGAGUUCGGGAGAGGGAUGCGGAAUUCCAGGUGUAGCGGUGAAAUGCGUAGAUAUCUGGAGGAACACCGGUGGCGAAGGCGGCAUCCUGGACCGACACUGACGCUGAGGAGCGAAAGCUAGGGGAGCAAACGGG